rnacentral:lncRNA from 1 species
AAAUCCAUGAGCUGAGAACCAAGCAGCAUUGCCUUGCAGCUCCAUCCAGCUUGCUCGAGCUCGCUCACUCCAUCUUUCUGCUUCAAGGUUGCCAGGCAAGUCGAUCAAUCCCAUCAUUUUCUUUUCUGGUCUGCUUGAAAUUUCAGACUGAUGCUCUUAAUUUGAUCUCUGCAUGUGUUUGUUCUUUCAGCUUCCGUAGUUCAUCAUCCUUCAUGUAUUUGCCAUCGAUACAUAGCAAUAGUUUCAAGAGAUUAGGAGAAGAUCGAUGUUGGUCGACAGCAAGCAGGUUUGGGACACAUUUUCUUCUUGGUUGAUUUAACUUAUCGAUCUAUCAUGCUCUUAUGUUGUUGAUGCUAGCUCCUUUUUAUGGUUUAUACCUCGAAAUUUGAGGCCUCCGGUUUAAUCGACUGUUCUAUCUUUUCAAAAUACAAACCUCUGAGCAAUAAAAAGAAAAGUAUAUCCGCUAAAGUGUACCUCUUCUAAUCAGCCGGUGCUGGAAAAUAUAUAGGUAGAGAUCUUCCAAGGAUCUGCAGCAGUUGUUGUUAGUAGCUAACAGGGAUCAGUUGUCACUAGUUAAGGUCUUGAGGCAUUCAGGUAUAUUGGGGGAAAAAAGGCUUGAAAGAAACUCUUGAGGUAGCUGUGCUCAAACUUUCUAUUUCCGAAAUGGUCAAGCUAUACAUCAUAAGAUGUAUUUUGGAAACAAGUAAAAAUACUUAUAUUUUAAAAUAGAGCAGGUGGCCCAUUAGUUUUAGCUCAGCGCACCAACUGCAUCUACAAGAGCCGCCACAGUUUAGUUUGGCUUGGUGCACCAACUGCGCGUCUAGAGAUAGGCGUGGGUCAGCCCAUGGGUUAUUUGUGGUUGGAUAUAGUUCACCUAAAUAGAUAAAGUUCUUUUUCUAAGUCUCAUUUGUAGAUUUACACCCAAAAAAUGAACUGAAAAAUACCAGCCCAUUUGUAGAUUUAUUUAGACCAAUAAAAUUCAAGCCUUCCAAGAUAGGCCUUAAAUGGCAGUACGUACCAGGCUGCCGGCCCACUACAAAACACUUGUUUAGAUGACUGUAGAAUUGAUUUUGUUUAAAUUGCAAUCUUAUGAACCAGUAUAUAUACGUAAAGUGGGCCUAGUUUACAUGAGCAUAAUACCAGGCCGAGUCAGCCCAAGAAAGUGGGAUUAAUUAAUUAAUGGGCUUACAUUUGCAACCAGGGCUGUCCAAGCCACGAGCACGGGCCUAUUUCAGUACUGGGCUCCGACACGGUCAAGUUAGGUCGGCCUGUUAUGUUUUUGAGUUACAUGUACGUUUUUACUGCUAUCUCGCUUUUGAAGUAUAGACAAUUUCAGAUUAUUUAGAAAAUAUUAAAGUUGGGUAAAAAAUAUUAUUUAGUUAUUUUAGUGUUUAAUUUUUAAAUUUGAAAUACUUUUAUCUUUCUUUUUUUUCUAAAAGGCCCUAAGAACAAUUAUAUAUUUUUGGAACGAGAGACAAGAACUGUUCGUAGCGGAACCUGAUCUCUUCAGUUGCAGAGAAACUUACAGCAGCAGGAUAUAUACCUUACUGUGUACCCGAAUGUACUCCACUACGUACUGUAGUUUUCUUGCUAGAGCACGUGCGCUAGUUUUUUCCACGAGGGAUGUGUCACGCGCUCUACGUGCUGACGUGUUAUUUUGUGGCAAGGUUUGCUGUAGUCGUUCGUGUGCGGUGGAGCAGUGACAGAACCCGAAAAAAUAAAGUAAAUCUUUUUAACUAUUUUUGGAAAUUAUAUGAUGUUUCCCAUAAUUUCAAGCUAGUUCUGAUUCUACCCCUGCAGUGGAGGUUCCAAGCAUGCAUUUCCAAGUGCUUAGUUAUAUCACCCGUCGUUAAAAUUGUUACUACUAGCUUAGACUGCUUAGUGCUUACGCUGUCUAAAAGAAGAAAAAGGCAAACUAGCUUCAGUUUAUAUGCUUAUAAUUAUAGUUUGUUUAGAUUAAUUACAUGCUUCUACUUCUUCAUCCUUUCUCUCUUCUUUUCUUCUUCCUCUUCAUUAUUUUUUCCAGUUUAACACUAUUCGGUGAUGAGUUGUAUCAAACCGUGUGUUUAUUUUCAAUGCCAAUUCAGGUGGGGAAACUCCCCCUGGCCUGAAUGCCUGAUCCUUUCCAAAAAAUAAAAUAAAAAUAAAAAUUGAAGUUAAUAAGAAGUGAAGAUAAUUACAUAAAGAACAUAAAAUGUUAAGAUGAUACAUUAACAAACCCCUUUGCGCGCAUUACAAUUAGGUACAUAUACACACUGAUACAACAUACGUGUAUCGAUCUCUCGCGGCUAAUAUAAUUUUGACAAAUUUUGGUAAUUUGCAUGCGGAUGUACUGCACAUUUAUAUGCAAACUCUACCCAAAAAAAAAAAUGAACUCUUGUGAAUGAUGUACAAUAGAAACCCUAGGGAUGGAAAACAAUUCUAAACUCAUAAGUGGAUAUGCUCUCAUCUAUUACAUCUUAUCUAAAUAGUUUUAUUUUUUUAAUUAAAAGAUAGAUUUAUAUGAAAUAUAUCGCUUCACAUACGUACAAGUUCAAAUAUAACUUCAACGAAUUAUAAAAAAUAUGACUAUUUACUAUUCUGAGUUUAAUCUAUCAUUUUUGGUAUAAAGUGUAAAUUUUAUAAUUUAAACUUGUAUGUUUAUGAAGUGAUAUAUUUCAUAUAAUCUAUUUUUAUAAAUUCUUUAUAACUAUUUAAGCAACAUGUAAUAGAUAAGGGAUAUUCAUAUUCUCAUGCCAAUUUAGAAUCUACUCCACCUAAAGAUCACUAAGUAGCACUAAGUAGAAACAAGAGAUUGAGAUCGAGACGACUACGUGAAAAACAUCGAGACUGGGUGACGGAUCCGGCCAAUGAUAUUAGGGGGUCUGAACAAUCAGAUAGAGUUUCGACCCCUUUCUAUCGAUGUUUGCCAUAAAUUUUAGGAAAGACUUUGUGAGAGCUCUAAUGGCUUUAACAAGGGUAUCAAGGUCUCGAGCCCCCGCCGCCUCAUACCAAAUUCGCCCCUGUCGAGGCUAAUUAACCGGCGAUAUGAUGUAUAUACAGCUUCACCUUCCUCUCCAGCCAUGCGUGAUCAAGCCAUGAUAACUGCUCGCCGGCGGCGGCCGGCUCGCGUCAGUUCAUGUUGGAAACAUAUAACAUGAUUAGCCCCGAGAUCCACAGCACAAACGCCAUGAAAAACCACCCCGGCGAGGGGGGCGCCGCCGCCGGCGCGGUGAAAGCUUCGGAGAAAACAAGGUACCCGGCCGCGGUUAGCAUCAGCCCGAUCGCCACGCGGACGCGCCGCGGCCGCCGCCUCCUCCUCUGCCCGCGACGGUGGCCGCCGACAGCCUCAUGGUGACGCGGCGGCGGAGGCGGGGCAGGGGCCUUCCCGUUGCUGCCCGCGGCCACGACGCUGCUGCUGAUCAUCUCGUCCCUUCGGCCUCCCAUCUCCAGCUUCAGCUCCGGCCGGCCGCGGUCGCCGUCGUGAACUCGUCUGCUGAGUCUAGCGCUCGCGCUCUAGCUCUAGCUCUCUUUGCGCUUAAUUACACGACAGCAGAAGCGAAUAAUGACGCUUAUAAUGCAUUUUGUGGUGUAGGAUAAUACAUUAACAGAGUUGCGAGGAAGGUUCGCACAAAGGUUCAGAAGCGAAUACACACACUGUUCACGGCUUACCCUAUUAUUAUACUGUACAAUUAAGUGGUUUUCGCGGGAAGCUGUUCAGGGUUUCUGGGAAGGUUCCUUUGACAGUGACCGGAAGAAGUAUACAUCUGUGUGCAUGUUAUCUAAAUAGUUAUCAAAAAAUAUGAAAAAAAUUGAUAAGAUAGUUUGAUAUGAGUUAUAUCACUCCACCAACAUGUAAGUUUAAAUUUAACUUCUACAAGUUGUAGCAAAAAUAACAAAAACAAUUAUGAAUAUGCGUACGUUUGUUUUUUUUUGCUACAACCUGUAGAAGUUGAAUUUAAAUAUGCAUGUUUGUGAAGUGAUAUAACUCAUAUUAAUCUAUCUUGUCAAUUUUUUUAUAUUUUUUAAUGACUAUUUAGAUAGCAUGCAAGCACACGGGUGUAUGUAUACCCGUGUGCUAAAAACUAUUUUCCGACAAUGACCUACUCGAUCUGUCGAUCAACGUCUCAAAAUAUAAGUCAAUUUUAGAUAAGUAUUCAAGUCAAAUAACCUUUAUGUCUUUAUUUGUUUAUCUUUUUAUAUACAGUGAUGAAAAUAUGUGCUAACUUUACUCACCGGCCCAUAGGUGUAAUAAUUAUGCAUGUUGCCUUUUGUUUUGUUGUUUUCUUUUCUUCUAAAUCCUAAAACAGUAUAAAAUUUGAUCAAAAUAAUCACUUACUCUCUCUGAUUUUUAAUUUACUGACGCAAUUGACUUUUAAAUUUAUGUUUGGCUUUUCGUCGAUUCAAAACUUUUAUCCAAGUAGUACAUAAAAUAAUCAUACUUAAAAGUUACUUUAGUAAUAAAUCAAAUCAUAACAAAAUAAUCAAUAAUUAUAUAAAUUUUUUGAAUAAAAUAAAACCUUAAACAUACAUUCAAAAGUCAAAAGCAUCCAUUAAAAAACAAAAAGAGUAUGUUGGAACAAAUAGAGUAAUUACUACCAUCGGUCAAGGACAGGAAACAGGAACGGUACCGAUGAAGACCAAACGAGAUAUGAUCUGUCUUGACAGUUACUACACUACUACUACUGGAUUAAUUAAGUAGAAGCUUUCACAGAUCAGGCCUAGGCGUGACAUCGAUGUGAUAUGAUUAGGAUGAAAUGGAAAUGCAUCGAUUACAGUACAAUAUGCUCGUCAAUCAAUUAAUUAUAUAGUUGGUGAUCGAAAUUAUCCCCCAGAGGCCAGAGGUCCAGAUAUAUAUAUAAUCGAUCACGGAUAUUUAGUAUCAAUUCCUGAUCAGUCAGGGUCUCCGUUGACGUUGAUUUCCUCAUCGAUGAUGCAAAGUCUGAACUUGAGCAGAUCAGGAUCAGAUAAGGUUCUACGUACGUAGGAUUCUAGUACUAUAUGCUUUUGGCAAUAUACGGCAGGCAAAUAAACUCUGACAUUGACAGCAGCGCCUCAAAUUAAUAUCAUUAGCUGGUUGUAUGAAGUGUAAUUAUUUAUUUUCUAUAUAGUAUAUACAGUAGAUUCGUGACCGGUUGUUAACUUUCUUUUGUCAAACCCUAGCAGCUGUUCACAUCACAUACUUAAUUAUUAAUUGCGAGCAAAAAUGCAUAUAUAUGUUUGGUGAGCGCGCAGCACCAUUUUGACCAUCCAAUAUAAUGACGGUGCUGGCCGAUAAAUUAAACACAAGCAGCCGGGUAAAGUAAAGAUUGCAUCUACAAUUGAAGAUUUUUGAUAGGCACGUGUACAGUAUGGUGUUGGUUCGUACUAGCUGCUGAUUGCUACUAAGGAUGAUCUUUUGAGCCAGAUUAUUUCUUGGUUUUUAUACACACACUACUAACUAUUAAAAGCGGUAUAUUUUUUAUAAAAGUUUUAUGUUCAUUAUCUCACCUUUAUAGAGUAGAUAUUUAAUUUAUAGUAAUUAAUUUCAUCAUUUAUACUAAUAAAUAACUAAAAAAUAUCAUAUAACCUUUGGUCUUUCAUCUACUAAACAAACACAACCUAAGUCGAGACUUAUGCGUAAUACGUACGGUACUUACAUUGUCUAAGGUCUGCGGAUUAUGCAGUUAGCUAGUACGUACAUCUAAGCAUUAAUAUGGUACCAGAUAUGUAAGAAAUGGAUUCAUUAGAGCAUCCCUAACAACUCAUCUAAAUUUGGUCAUCCAUAUCUUCAUUUAGAUAAUCAUCUAAAACACUUUCAUCCUUCAUAUCCCUUUAUACUCCAGCAGAUCAUCUAUAUAUGACAUUCUCUAUCUAUUUGGAGGAUUGGAGAGAGAACAUCUAAAUAGAGAGUUUCUCUCUCCUAAUAUGGAUAUGACAUCUAUAAAUAGAUGAUGAGAUAGAUGAUCUGCUGGAGCUCAACUUUUACUCUUUAUUCUCUAUUUCUAGGACGGAGGAUGAGAUAGAUGAGCUGUUGGGGAUGCUCUAAUCCCUCUAAGGGAACACCCUUUCAUUUUUGCAUGUUAGAAAAGAAUUUGAAAAAAAGGUAAGAUAGGUUAAUGUAUGAUAUUUCACUCCAAAAAUAUGUAUAUCUAAAUUCGACCUGUCACAUAUACACACUGGCAGUCUAGCUAGUCUGUCACAUAUUUACUGCUCCCUCUGUUUCAAAAUAUAUGAUGUAUUUUAUUUUGGUUAGACCUAAUGAACAAAGGGAGAGGGAGUACAAAAUUUCCAAAUGAAUGGUCAGAGACUUAGAGGUCUCUUGCCAACUUUAUUUCUAUGACAUUUGCUCCGGUCUAAUAAAAAGUAUCUCGAGGUAUCAAAAUGUUUUCCACCAUUAGAUCUAGCUGAGUAGAAUGUGCACUGUUAGAUCCAACGAUCAAAAAACGAUUUGGUACCAUGUACUAGUACCACGAGAUACUUUUUGUUACUUUUUAUUGGAUUGCAACAAAUCUCAUCAUGGUAUGUAACCGCUGAUCUGAAUGCCCUUUCAGUGCACAGUGCCGUCGUUUUCUCCACUUAAUAGCCGAC